UGUGGUGAGACGCAGGGGCAGAGCCCUUUGUAAUGAUCAGGGCCGUCACAGCCAAUGGCUUGCGUCUCCACCUUAUUUAUUCUGAGGUAGCUUUUUGUGUCGGGAGGUGCCACAAUUUGUCUCCUCGUUAUUUCCUGCUACGCCCCUCCAGGCAACUUGCUACCGCGCUUGUGCCUGUUGCUUGCUGGUGCCUGCUGGUGCCCUGCCUUGGUUGGUGAUGCGUGCAGGUUGUUGAUCGCGUAACAGUCUCGGUGUGGAUUCCAACCGAAUGGUAACAUUCAGCGGUACGCUGUGAGCCGCUGACUUAAGUAGGAAGUUGCCAACUUCCUGGUACUGCCGAUUGUGUCGUUGCCGACUGCUGUUUUUGCCACCCGUUGUUUACCACCAAAGUUGCCCAACUGUCCUGGGCUAGCCUGGAGGAUAGCGGCGAAGACGCUAACGACCACUCCUUUUGAACGUGAUCUGUCUGUUGACUUGUCCUUGUGUGUUUCCACCUGUCCGUGUCGCAACUAGUGUGUCGGUGUGUGUGUGUGUGUGUGUGUGUGUAGAGUGUUGGCGAGUGCGUGCGUGUUUGUCCUGGGCUAGCCUGGAGGAUAGCGGCGAAGACGCUGACGACCACUCCUUUUGAACCUGACCUGUCUGUUGACUUGUCCUUGUGUGUUUCCACCUGUCCGUGUCGCAACUAGUGUGUCGGUGUGUGUGUGUGUGUAGAGUGUUGGCGAGUGCGUGCGUGUUUGUCCUGGGGAAGUGUUUGGUUUAAUUUGGGGGAUUCUGUUUAUGGUUUGUUUUGAGCCCUGCUUCUGUUAAGCCACUGGCAGGAGGCCUUUUUAUAGCUGCGGAUAACCAGUGGGCUAUCAUUCAUGUUUAAGAUCCUUUUUGGCCUGGUAUGUGUGUUUGUUUUUUUGUUUUCUUACUGAUUUCCUUUUGUGAAUUAUAUUUUGUGUUUAUUGUUUUGUUUGGUCGCUUGUAUCUGCCCUCAUCUCUCUUUUGUUCCUUCGUUUCCAGGCGCUGAGUGCCCACCGCAGGGAGGCAACUAGAUCCUUUAGGUGGUGGUGCCCCCUUCCCGAGUGUGGUUUCACGUGUGUCCUCUUGGAAUUUCUCUUUUAUCAUUUUGAUCCUGUGUUGCGGUGUGAAUGUGCGAGCACGAGUGACUGGUUGGUGUUUAUGUGUCUCCCCCUCCGUCUCCUGGUAUCUUGCCCCCUGCUGGUAAGCCUCAGCCCUAACCAUCCUGUCUAUCCCCUACAUACCAAUUGAUUUCAUUUAUCCUGUUUGUUACAUGUGGAACACACAUGUUUUAGUUAAUAAAAACAACUUAUUUUUGGAACUUCGUCUCUGGUGCCGUCAGUCAACGAACGUGUGUG
ensembl:lncRNA